GUUAAGAGUCAACUGCACUGCUGUGGAGCUGGAGUUACAUCUAAGCCAGACCAGAUGGAACAAAGGUUCUCUGUGAAGUAGUCACUGAAGACUUCAUUUCCCCGAUGUAGAGAAGGCGACAUUGUGAGCAGUGAAUGCAGCAGACUAGAUUGUGUGAAGUGCAGAAUCACAGAGGCACAUUUAGCAAUUUAGCAAGAAUUCCAAACAAAUUUCCCAUCACGAACACAGAGUGAGUCAAUUCAUCAGGACUUCAACCAUUGGAUUUUCAAUGUUUGUGGGAAAAGAUUACAAACAUCAGUGUGACUGGAAAUGCACCAAGACGCAUCCAACCUUUGGAGACACUGAGUUCACACCGGAGAAUGGCCAUUCAUCUCCUCUGAGUGUGGGAAGGGAUUCAUUGACUCAUCCUACCCGCUGAAACACCAGCAAGUUCACGCUGGGGAAAGGCCAUUCUGUGUGGCAAGGCAUUCUCUUAUCCAACCUCAGGGCACACCAACUGGCUCACACUGAUGGGAGACAUUUCAAGCGUUCAGACUGUGAGAAGAGCUUUAAAUGCAAAUGUGACAUGCUGAUAUACCAACACAUUCACAUUGGGGAGAGGUUAUGCCCCUGCUCUGUGUGGGAAAUCAUUUGUCCGUUCAACAGCCUUCUGAAACACCAGCAAGUACGCAUUGGUAAGAAGAUGUUACUGGCUCUCUGUGGGAAAGCAUUCACUCAGUCAUUCCACCUGCCUAGACACCAGUGAGUUCACAAGUGACUGCAGGGCAGGUGCCUGUUGCUGUUGUUUCUUAAAACUUUGAUUGAUCCAGCUCCUAGGAGGACUGGUUGAUUGAUGUGAUGGAGGAUUCCUCCAGCCUGAGGACCAGGAGGCAGAUGCAGUGGAACAGGGAAAUAUGUGAUGCUUGUGAUGUGUCAUGGGGAGGCCAGCAGAAGGUGGCAUUGUAUCACUUUAAACACCAGAGUUGUGGGGGGUGGGGGAGGGGGGAGGUGGUGGUGGUGGGGUGAGGAGAUCAGAGAGGAGAGAGAGACUGGGAUUCAUCACACACACAGGCACUGUCAAACACAGCCAUAGAGAUACACAAUGUCCCUCUGUAUACGGUCAGGGUUGAUAUGUUUGAUAAACUCAAGUUCAUUUGUGCAAUAAAUUGCAUAAUUAUUGUUCAUUUGGAAAAUUGACUGUUUCAUUUGUAGAAUUAUCAAACUCAUUAAAGGUGAACUUGCUGGCUUGUUCAUUUUAGUCCCACUUA